GAUGAACGCUAGCGGCAGGCUUAACACAUGCAAGUCGAGGGGUAUAGGUUUUCGGACCUAGAGACCGGCGCACGGGUGCGUAACGCGUAUGCAAUCUACCUUUCACAGAGGGAUAGCCCAGAGAAAUUUGGAUUAAUACCUCAUAGUAUAGCAGUUUCGCAUGAAACCACUAUUAAAGUUCCAACGGUGAAAGAUGAGCAUGCGUCCCAUUAGCUAGAUGGUAAGGUAACGGCUUACCAUGGCUACGAUGGGUAGGGGUCCUGAGAGGGAGAUCCCCCACACUGGUACUGAGACACGGACCAGACUCCUACGGGAGGCAGCAGUGAGGAAUAUUGGUCAAUGGACGCAAGUCUGAACCAGCCAUGCCGCGUGCAGGAUGACGGUCCUAUGGAUUGUAAACUGCUUUUGUACGAGAAGAAACAUUCCGACGUGUCGGAACUUGACGGUAUCGUAAGAAAAAGGAUCGGCUAACUCCGUGCCAGCCGCCGCUGUAAUAC
rnacentral:rRNA from 1 species